AACGAACGCUGGCGGCAUGCCUAACACAUGCAAGUCGAACGAGACCUUCGGGUCUAGUGGCGCACGGGUGCGUAACGCGUGGGAACCUGCCCUUAGGUUCGGAAUAACUCCCCGAAAGGGGUGCUAAUACCGGAUAAUGUCUUCGGACCAAAGAUUUAUCGCCUUUGGAUGGGCCCGCGUUGGAUUAGCUAGUUGGUAGGGUAAAAGCCUACCAAGGCGACGAUCCAUAGCUGGUCUGAUAGGAUGAUCAGCCACACUGGGACUGAGACACGGCCCAGACUCCUACGGGAGGCAGCAGUGGGGAAUAUUGGACAAUGGGCGAAAGCCUGAUACAGCAAUGCCGCGCGAGUGAUGAAGGCCUUAGGGUUGUAAAGCUCUUUUACCCGGGAUGAUAAUGACAGUACCGGGAGAAUAAGCUCCGGCUAACUACGUG
rnacentral:rRNA from 1 species